rnacentral:rRNA from 1 species
UAGGGAAUUUUCCACAAUGGGGGCAACCCUGAUGGAGCAACACCGCGUGCAGGAUGAAGGCCUUCGGGUCGUAAACUGCUUUUGUCUGUGAAGAAUAUGACGGUAACGGACGAAUAAGGGUCUGCUAACUACGUGCCAGCAGCCGCGGUCAUACGUAGGACCCAAGCGUUAUCCGGAAUUACUGGGCGUAAAGAGUUGCGUAGGUGGCUCGGUAAGUAGAUGGUGAAAUCGUGUGGCUCAACCAUACACACAUCAUCUAAACUGCCGUAGCUUGAGUAUGGGAGAGGUAGAUGGAAUUUCUAGUGUAGGAGUGAAAUCCGUAGAUAUUAGAAGGAACACCGAUGGCGUAAGCAGUCUACUGGCCCAUUACUGACACUAAGGCACGAAAGCGUGGGGAGCGAACGGGAUUAGAUACCCCCGUAGUCC